UUUGGUUCCUUAGAUCGUACUCAUAGUUACUUGGAUAACUGUGGCAAUUCUAGAGCUAAUACAUGCAAACGUAGCCCCGACCGGUGACGGAAGGGGUGCUUUUAUUAGAUCAAAAACCAAUCGGCGCUCGCGCCGUCCAAAGAGAUGACUCUAGAUAACUUCGAGCUGAUCGCACGGUCCAGCACCGGCGACGCAUCUUUCAAAUGUCUGCCUUAUCAACUGUCGAUGGUAGUUUAUCUGACUACCAUGGUUGUCACGGGUAACGGGGAAUCAGGGUUCGAUUCCGGAGAGGGAGCCUGAGAAACGGCUACCACAUCCACGGAAGGCAGCAGGCGCGCAAAUUACCCACUCCCGGCACGGGGAGGUAGUGACGAAAAAUAACGAUACGGGACUCGUCCGAGGCCUCGUGAUCGGAAUGAUUACACUUUAAAUCCUUUAAUGAGGAUCCAUUGGAGGGCAAGUCUGGUGCCAGCAGCCGCGGUAAUUCCAGCUCCAAUAGCAUAUACUAAAGUUGUUGCGGUUAAAAAGCUCGUAGUUGAAACUGUGUCCUGCGGCGUUUGUCUACCGAUUGCGGUACGACAGGCGCGUCUGCGGGGCUUCUCGCCGGUGCGUCUUCCGACCCUUCCGCGCGUGCGCGUCGUGCUCGUUUCGGCUUGUGCGGCGUCGCGCGCGGUCAAAGGGGUCGGGUCGUCGCGGCUUUUUACUUUGAACAAAUUAGAGUGCUCAAAGCGGGCUGUUUUUCGCCUGAAUAUUGUACGCAUGGAAUAAUAGAAUAGGACCUCGGUUCUGUUUUGUUGGCUUUCUGACACCAGAGGUAAUGAUUAAUAGGGACAACUGGGGGCAUUCGUAUUGCGACGUUAGAGGUGAAAUUCUUGGAUCGUCGCAAGACGGACUAAAGCGAAAGCAUUUGCCAAAGGUGUUUUCAUUAAUCAAGAACGAAAGUUAGAGGUUCGAAGGCGAUUAGAUACCGCUGUAGUUCUAACCAUAAAUGAUGCCAGCCAGCGAUCCGCCGAAGUAUCAAAUUAAAAUUACCCGGUGGGCAGCUCCCGGGAAACCAAAGCU
rnacentral:rRNA from 1 species